AAUUGCCAAACAGCUAGACCUUGGUUUAACGUAGGCAUCUCAAGGAAAAACUGCAUUCUUUUAUGAUUUUUGUGGCGGUUUUUCCUUGUUUUCUUGUAUAUUUUUCACUGUUUUCUAGUGUUUUCAUGUUUUGAAUAAAAUUCCCGCCUUAGCCGCCUAUUUGCAAAAUACGAGUCCACAAUCAUGUUGAAAAUGUGUGUCAGCGGUCGUUAUUCGCUGCUUACUUUAUGUAAUUUUGUGUUUAAACACCCCACGCAAGCCCCACGCACAGUUAACUACGUGAUUAGUUAACUAUCCGACUAACUACGUUUUGUGCAACGCAGUUAAA